UGAACCUGUCGGAAUGAUCAUUACCGAGUGAGGGCCCUCUGGGUCCAACCUCCCACCCGUGUCUAUCGUACCUUGUUGCUUCGGCGGGCCCGCCGUUUCGACGGCCGCCGGGGAGGCCCUGCGCCCCCGGGCCCGCGCCCGCCGAAGACCCCAACAUGAACGCUGUUCUGAAAGUAUGCAGUCUGAGUUGAUUAUCGUAAUCAGUUAAAACUUUCAACAACGGAUCUCUUGGUUCCGGCAUCGAUGAAGAACGCAGCGAAAUGCGAUAAGUAAUGUGAAUUGCAGAAUUCAGUGAAUCAUCGAGUCUUUGAACGCACAUUGCGCCCCCUGGUAUUCCGGGGGGCAUGCCUGUCCGAGCGUCAUUGCUGCCCUCAAGCACGGCUUGUGUGUUGGGCCCCCGUCCCCCUCUCCCGGGGGACGGGCCCGAAAGGCAGCGGCGGCACCGCGUCCGGUCCUCGAGCGUAUGGGGCUUUGUCACCUGCUCUGUAGGCCCGGCCGGCGCCAGCCGACACCCAACUUUAUUUUUCUAAGGUUGACCUCGGAUCAGGUAGGGAUACCCGCUGAA
rnacentral:rRNA from 1 species